UUCUUAUCAAGAGAGGCAGAGGGACUGGCCCUGUGAAGCCUCAGCAACCGGUGUAGUAGAAAUCUAUUUUCUAUGACCAAGGUGCUAAAUCCAGCAAGCAACUGCUUGGAAGAUAAGAA
rnacentral:ncRNA from 18 species